rnacentral:tRNA from 2 species
GUUUUAGUAAUUUAAAAAAAAUGUCAUUUUUGUAAAAUGAAAAUAGUCUGUUCUCUAAAAUU